CUUCGGAUCUAGUGGCGCACGGGUGCGUAACGCGUGGGAAUCUGCCCUUGGGUUCGGAAUAACAUCUGGAAACGGAUGCUAAUACCGGAUGAUGACGUAAGUCCAAAGAUUUAUCGCCCAAGGAUGAGCCCGCGUAGGAUUAGCUAGUUGGUGAGGUAAAGGCUCACCAAGGCUACGAUCCUUAGCUGGUCUGAGAGGAUGAUCAGCCACACUGGGACUGAGACACGGCCCAGACUCCUACGGGAGGCAGCAGUAGGGAAUAUUGGACAAUGGGGGCAACCCUGAUCCAGCAAUGCCGCGUGAGUGAUGAAGGCCUUAGGGUUGUAAAGCUCUUUUACCCGAGAUGAUAAUGACAGUAUCGGGAGAAUAAGCUCCGGCUAACUCCGUGCCAGCAGCCGCGGUAAUACGGAGGGAGCUAGCGUUGUUCGGAAUUACUGGGCGUAAAGCGCACGUAGGCGGUUAUUUAAGUCAGAGGUGAAAGCCCGGGGCUCAACCCCGGAACUGCCUUUGAGACUGGAU
rnacentral:rRNA from 1 species